UCUCGUUCCUUCUCCAUCCCUUGGCCGCUCUCUUUCCUCCCUCCCUCCUUCCCUCCGUUGUUGAUCCCGGCCAUAGAUCCGAGAUCUUUUGGUGGGAUGUCGUUCGAUUUAUUUAAGGCUCAUGUUUUUUUCUCCUCCCCCAAAAAAUUUUCUUUUUUGAAGUUUUGCAGGUGGUUAGCUUUGAGUCAUCAUGCUUGCGGAUGAUUUCGUCCACAUCUACGAGGUGUUGACUCGUUCGCCUCCAGAUCCGUGCGAAUCCGUGGAGAUCUGGAUGGGUUGUUUCACGUCGGCGAUGUCUGUUCGCUUCGGGCAUCCGAAUCUCGCUGAUUUCUCUUUGAUGGGGGAGAUCUGGCCCAGAUCUAACCCCGCGUCUCUCCGAUCUGUAGAGAUUUGACGAACGUGCGCUGUGUAAGCCUUUCUGUUGUAAGAAAAUUAAAUUGAGAGAGGUGCGAUGUACUUGUUUUGGGUACCCUGGGGUCUGGCUUGCUGAAGAGACGCAGUGAUCUGGAAGUUGUACUCGGUAUGUGUUUCCUUACGACCAGACCUUUGCCAUGUUGGGUGCGCUCGCAUGGCAGGUCGCCUUCAUUAAUAAAAUUUAUUUUUUUGUGUGUUUUGGGGGGAGAUCGUACGGGGUGCUUAAAUUUUUUCAACCCCGGGUUCUCUCCCCCUGUUGCUGGUGCCUGCUUUCUCCUUCUGGUUUUCUGCUGGUUAGAUAAUCCGUUCCGCUCUGGAGAUCUGCCUGCCUGCAGCCAGAGUGAUCAGUGGGCGUCAUCAGCUGUGUGAUGAAUUUUCUGCCAUCCGUUCAUGAUCUGAACAGAGGAAUGUAUUCAAAUGGGUGUUUCGACUCAGCAUUAGUACCGCCGACCUUUGUUGAGCUUUGGAUCAUUCGAGGUAUCUGUUGCUUCCGUUACUGAAUGGUGUAUCUAGUGCACUUUGCGAUAAAUGAGCUGCUAGAAGCGGGGGAGGAUGAUAUUCCGAGACUUGCACUUGGUAUGCACUUCUAUCUGUCAAGACCUUUGCCAUGCUGGGUGCGCUCGCUUGGUAGGUUGCUACUAUUAAUAAUAUUUACUUUGUGUUUUGGGGGGUGAUUGCAGCGGCUUAGUUUUAUAUGUGAGCCAGGCCUUUUGUCUGCUUUGGUACUAUGUUUACUUGCUUGAUGGUUGUUGCUGGUCAAGUAAUUGUUGAUUUUCUUUCUCAAUUAUGAGUGUUGUUUUUAAGCUGCCAUCUCUGGCUUUAAGCUGGCAUCCUUGGCCUAUUUACGCUUGUAAAUGCUGUGGCAAAAUUGUCGAAGGGUAGUGUGCAGUUUCUUCUCUUUGUUGUUGGGUCAUAGGCCAUAGAUAAUUUGCGAGUAAUUUUGCCACUUGUUUAAAGAAGUUGGUAUUAUAUAACUUACAGGGGAGCUGUCUAUUAUUUGUUAUUUGAGCAUUUGAUUAAGUGGCAGCAAUUAAAAGGUUGUGAAGUUCAUUUAUUGAUCGAGCUGCAACUGAUGGCUGUUCUGUGGCUAUGAUGUUCUGCUGAAGCUGUUUCUUUGGCUGCGAUCUGGUGCUGUUUGCUGGUUGCAGUCGUUUUUGGAGGCUGCUUCGUUGGUUGCGGUCUUCUGUGGAAGACGUUUCUCUGACUGCAGUCGUCUGCUGAAUGGAGCCUUCUGUGUUCGGAUUAAUUGAAAUCUGCUUGGGAGGGCUUAAGUAAGAACGAAAGUAGCUACUUGUCCACAGCAGUCUGCGGUAAUAGCAUGUUUGCUCCCUGAAUUUUGCGGAGUCCUGCCUAGUGCAGUGGCUGUAGUUGCUGGAUGGUAUUGUCAAAUGAAGUAACAAGGGCGUAGUGAGAAAAUUAUUGUCCUUCUAAUUUGUUGGCUUAGGCUAGGCGACCGGUGUGGGUGUCAAAAUUACUGUUGUUGCGUAUGAUUUUUGUUAGAUUUCGUGUUCUAGUUUCACUUCCUGUAUGGUAGGAAGGAUAAAAAUCAGUUUUUGAGUUCGUUAGUUUUGUUGAGUAUAGUUAAUUGAAGAAAUUUUCUAAACAAAUCUGUUCAUAAA